AGUGAAGUGCAAAUGAUUGUACCACGAAAUAAUUACUGGUGGUACACACAUUUGCAUGAUACUCAGUUACUCUCAAGCAACACCUCUAAUUUUCGGCACGUAUUAAAUGGCCUAGAUCCACGUGUAUUUGUGUUGCAAAUGCCGUAAAAAAAAAACCACUACAAACUUACCAAAACUAAAAGUAUUAAAAAUAAGACAAGUGUUUUAUCUCAUUUUGAUCUGUCUCCAGGGUUGUGUUCAACGAAGUGGUGCAGACGACCAAGGACUACAUGCGAGACAUCACGGUGAUCGAGCCUGACUGGUUGUCUGAACUGGCCCCACAUUUCUACCACUUCGGCACGGAACGUGAGUUAGCAGCAAAGAAAGCAAGAUUACAGUAACUCAGCAGAGCAGAUAUUGGCAGCCUUGGAAACAGUACCAGCACAGAAAGUGAUACACCUUCAAUGAUCUUCGCAACAAAUUUUUAAAAUAAACCAUUUCAUUUCAUCCUAA